GCUUGCCUUUCAGAGGCCUUCCCCAGCUAUUUCCUCCCUCCCCCGCCUCCCCUCCUUUCCUGCCUCUCCAUUGUUUUUAGAUUCACUCCCUUUCCGUCUCCCUCACCCUUUUCUUCCCAUCUCUUCUCACCAGGAGCUCCAUCAAGAUGUCGAGCCGGGAGAGCAGCAUCACUGAUGAGGAGAUGAAUGAGCUCAUCUCCAAGCUCCGAGCUCUGCUCCCUGAGUCCCGUCGCCCGAGCACAAGCAGGGCAUCGGCGUCGAAGCUGCUGAAGGAGACGUGCAGCUACAUCAAGAGCUUGCGUCGGGAUGUGGGCGACCUCAGCGACCGGCUGUCCGACCUGCUGGCGACGAUGGACUCCAACAGCCCACAGGCUGAGAUCAUAAGGAGCCUCCUCAGGCCCUAGGAACAGUUAGUCUGCUGCCGUUUUACCUCCUUUAUAGUACUCUCUAAGGAGGAACUGGUUAGGAGAAGGGGUCAUAUAUGGUGUACCAGCAUGUAAACUAAUGUACUAGCUAGCUAGUAGGAAAUAGUAUCUUUGCUUGAUGUCGUAGUUGUGUUUUCCCUACCCUCCACUUCCUUGUACAUUUAGUACCAGCAUAUAAACUGAUGUAUUAGCUAGUAGGAAACAGUAUCUUUGCCUGAUGGCCAAGUACUGUUUUCCCUGCCCUCCACUACGUUUGCAUUUCUCUAGUGUGGCUUGAGUUGUUUCUUCCAUGACAACCGACCGACCACUAUGGAGAAAAUAUCAUGUAAUUACGUUUCCUACGUGCUGCAGUUAAUACUUUAUUUCCAGUUUGUACGUCCGUA